rnacentral:lncRNA from 1 species
GGCGGGGUUAUCACAUACAGCUGAACAGGGAGGCGGGGUUAUCACACACAGCUGAACGGGGAGGCGGGGUUAUCACAUACAGCUGACCAGGGAGGCGGGGUUAUCACACACAGCUGAACAGGGAGGCGGGGUUAUCACACACAGCUGAACAGGGAGGCGGGGUUAUCACAUACAGCUGAACAGGGAGGCGGGGUUAUCACACACAGCUGAACGGGGAGGCGGGGUUAUCACAAACAGGUGAUCAGGGAGGCGGGGUUAUCACACACAGCUGAACGGGGAGGCGGGGUUAUCACACACAGCUGAACAGGGAGGCGGGGUUAUCUCAUACAGCUGACCAGGGAGGCGGGGUUAUCGCAUACAGCUGAACAGGGAGGCGGGGUUAUCACACACAGCUGAACGGGGAGGCGGGGUUAUCACAUACAGCUGAACGGGGAGGCGGGGUUAUCACACACAGCUGAACGGGGAGGCGGGGUUAUCGCACACAGCUGAACGGGGAGGCGGGGUUAUCACAUACAGCUGACCAGGGAGGCGGGGUUAUCGCAUACAGCUGACCAGGGAGGCGGGGUUAACUAAUUUCUGUAGGGAGUGGUCUUCAGGCUGUAAACGUGGCGGCUGAGAGAGUUAUGGUGGGUAUUUUCUGCACACACUGUCAACAUUCACACUCGGUCCCUAGGUAGGCUUUACUGUCCCUCGUGCUGGGGGAGGUUUUGCCAUUCCCAUGGGACUGAGGCAUUGGUCCUUGACACAGCUGUCCCCGUGUGCCCAACAAGCACAUUCACACGCUCCUACAGCCACGAGUGGCGGUGUGCCUCCAGCAUAUGAGGUGAAGACAGAAGGGUAAGAGACUGCUAGUUACACAGUUCGAGGCUGGUCUGGGGUAUAUAACACCCUGUCUCUACCCUCCCAAUACAAAAUAACACUAUGAAUAAAAAGGCAUUAGGAUUAGCAUUAAGGAGAGUGUGACUGGGCUGGAAUGACGGCUCAUCGGUUGAGAAUAUGGCUUAAAUGUGAAGUGCAGAAUCCUGUCCAGCCCCUGGUCAUUCUGCAAUCCCACCUGGAGAACAAUGCUGAGGAAAUGCCCUGGGGACUCCAACUGUGCAGAGUCUUGAUGCCUUCUGCUUGGGCCCAUCUGCCAGCUCAAACUCCAAUCUCCUUCUUCCCAGAGAUCCCCAGACUCUGCCACUGCGACAAAUGUCACUGCUGAUGGAUCCAGGGACCAAGAGGGAGGCUUAAGGUGGCCACUGUCCAUCUUCUGCCAGACUGCCAGAGGAAGAGAGGUGACAGCUGUCUGUGGAAGGGGAUGAAC